UACGGAGGAUGCGAGCGUUAUCCGGAUUUAUUGGGUUUAAAGGGUGCGUAGGCGGGAUGCCAAGUCAGCGGUAAAAAUGCGGUGCUCAACGCCGUCGAGCCGUUGAAACUGGUGUUCUUGAGUGGGCGAGAAGUAUGCGGAAUGCGUGGUGUAGCGGUGAAAUGCAUAGCUAUCACGCAGAACUCCGAUUGCGAAGGCAGCAUACCGGCGCCCUACUGACGCUGAGGCACGAAAGCGUGGGUAUCGAACAGG
rnacentral:rRNA from 1 species